GAUGAACGCUAGCGGCAGGCUUAACACAUGCAAGUCGAGGGGCAGCACGUCUUCGGAUGGUGGCGACCGGCGCACGGGUGAGUAACGCGUAUGCAAUCUACCUUUUACAGGGGCAUAGCCCGGGGAAACCCGGAUUAAUAUCCUAUAGUACCAUUAUAUAGCAUUAUAUUAUGGUUAAAGUUUCGGCGGUAAAAGAUGUGCAUGCGUCCUAUUAGCUUGAUGGUAAGGUAACGACUUACCAUGGCUAUGAUAGGUAGGGGUCCUGAGAGGGAGACCCCCCACACUGGUACUGAGACACGGACCAGACUCCUACGGGAGGCAGCAGUGAGGAAUAUUGGACAAUGGGCGCAAGCCUGAUCCAGCCAUGCCGCGUGCAGGAAGACGGCCCUAUGGGUUGUAAACUGCUUUUAUACGGGAAGAAACACCCCUUCGUGAAGGGACUUGACGGUACCGUAUGAAUAAGGAUCGGCUAACUCCGUGCCAGCAGCCGCGGUAAUACGGAGGAU
rnacentral:rRNA from 1 species